GAGGGUACAGCUCAGUGGUAGAGCACAUGCUUAGCAUGCAGCAAGGUCCUGGGUUCAGUCCCCAGUGCCUCCA
rnacentral:tRNA from 1 species